AAUUAUUUUUUUUUUUAGUUGCAGCAUAUGCCAUAGGCUAGGGUUGAUUCUGCUAGGUAUGUGUCUGUUGUUCAUCAGUUUCCUUUCAUCCUUCCUAAACUUGCAUGGUUGGUGGAAGAGGGUGCCCAUCCAAGUAGAGGAGGGAGGAAUGUUCUGUCGAGGGCAUGUGAAGAGCUGUGUUUCCCUGUUGGAACCUCCGAAUCAACUCUAUUUGUAGAAGAACAUGCACAGGCAGUCUUACUUACUUCAUGUAUUUUAAAAUUAAAAAGCAAUAUUAUAUU
rnacentral:snRNA from 1 species